AAGUCGUAACAAGGUUUCCGUAGGUGAACCUGCGGAAGGAUCAUUACCGAAUUGUCAACAUGAAGUUGUUGCUGGCCCUCAGAUGGGGGCAUGUGCACGCUCUGUUUACACAUCCACUCACACCUGUGCACUCUCUGUAGUUCUAUGGUCUGGGGGCUCGGUCCCCCUACCGUGGUUCUGCGUAUUCACACACACACACUGUAAUAAAGUCUCAUGGAAUGUAUGCCGCGUUUAACGCAAUGCAAUACAACUUUCAGCAACGGAUCUCUUGGCUCUCGCAUCGAUGAAGAACGCAGCGAAAUGCGAUAAGUAAUGUGAAUUGCAGAAUUCAGUGAAUCAUCGAAUCUUUGAACGCACCUUGCGCCCUUUGGCCAUUCCGAAGGGCAUGCCUGUUUGAGUAUCAUGAACACCUCAACUCCUCAUGGCUUGCCAUGAUGAGCUUGGACUUGGGGGUCUUGCUGGCCUGCAGUCAGCUCCUCUCAAAUGAAUCAGCUUGCCAGUGUUUGGUGGCGCCACAGGUGUGAUAAACAUCUACUCUUGUGGUCCCCUGCCAUGUAACCUUCAGCGAUGGAGGUUUGCUGGAGCUCACAAAUGUCUUUCCUCAGUGAAGACAGAUCUGUGAUUGUUUGAUCUCAAAUCAGGUAGGACUACCCGCUGAACUUAA
rnacentral:rRNA from 1 species